rnacentral:lncRNA from 1 species
GAACAAUCCAGGAUCCAGCCCCUUGACCUGGAAGCCAGACUUCUUCUGACGUCUACAAGACCAUGCAGAGGGGGCAGAGACGAGCGUGGAGAAGACUGGGAAGAAGAUUGUACCAACUACAAACCCUGCCCCCACCCCGAUCCCCGCGAGGGGGACGAAUUCUGAAAGAAGCUGGGAGUCUGCAUCCGUCCAGCCUUCUGGGAGCUCCGAAUCCUUCCACAGCCACUCGCUGCUGUCCCCCAGCCUUUGUAGCUUUGAAAUCCAUCGGACAUUUCAGACUUGCAUCGUGAUUUUCCUGUUGACGGUGGAGAUGUGUGAAGGCUGCAGAGAUGACUGGCCAUACUGGACGUGGGACAGUGCUGCCAACCGAGGACAUCACAGGUCCCCGGGGUCUUCAAAGAGGUUUUCAAGCGUGUAGAAAAAAAUACAGCCCGGUGGCUGGGAUGAAGGCAAGAAUGAUGGGUCUCACCAGGGGUCUCCCCACAUGGGAGACCAAGGGGGAGGCAGGGGUGUCUCCGGGCUGGUCACUGGUGGAGGAGGGGUGCCAUCCCCUCUCAUCAUGGGGCUUAUUGAAGCACUGCCUGAAAUUUGGGUGUUUGAUUUUUUUUUUUUUUUUUUUUUGUAUAUUUCUGUUCGGAUAUACCUGGAUUGGAGAGGAGACCAAAAUGAUUGCUCAAGUAUGAGGGCGGAAGCGAGGAAGGGACUGAGGAGGAAAGUGGUGGCAGGGAGGAAGGAGG